rnacentral:misc_RNA from 1 species
UCCGUGUUAACCACGGCAGUCUCUUUAGAGUGCCCAACUUAAUGCUGGCAACUAAAGACAAGGGUUGCGCUCGUUGCGGGACUUAACCAACAUGUCACCACACGAGCUGACGACAGCCAUGCAGCACCUGUCUCUCAGUCGUAUUGCUACGAAAGACGUAUCUCUACGUUUGUCUGAGGAUGUCAAACCCAGGUAAGGUUCUUCGCGUUGCUUCGAAUUAAACCACAUGAUCCACCGCUUGUGCGGGCCCCCGUCAAUUCCUUUGAGUUUUAGUCUUGCGACCGUACUUCCCAGGCGGGGUACUUAGUGCGUUAGCGCCGGUUCAGCGGGGGUCAAGACCCACCAAACCUAGUACCCAUCGUUUACAGCGUGGACUAC